GUGCUUCGAACAUAUUCAUAUUCAUAUGUAAAAAAAACAAUAAACCGCCAAUUAACAGCAAGUGUUUUUACACAUUUUGCAAGGAUUGACAAACGUGGGAAAGCAAGAGUAAAUACUAGGAGUUAGUACCAUGUUGUCGUUUUUGUCACUAUGAUCCAACACAUGUGACCGCUUUCUUUGUUUUCAGUUAGACAACACAGAUAAGGCCAAGAUCAUUUCUAAUUGUGCUUUGGCACUUAACAACUUCUUUUGAGGAAACAGGAGGAGCCGGGGCUCCUACUGAAAAAAAAAUAAAAGAUCAAACGUUACAGACACCAGUUUGUAAAAGAAAAACAGUG
rnacentral:lncRNA from 1 species